GGAGGGUCUGAGGGCCUGAAACCGCCGCACCUGGCCUCGUCGGUGAAGCCAUGGCCGCUGUCAUCGGAACAGAGGGCGAGAGAGAGACAGAGAGCUCGCGGUGGGGGAAAAGACAGGUACCGCCGUGCUGCACGAAGCUAUAGCCGCCGCUCCUGCCGCCGGUAAGCCUCGGUUAGCACUGCCGAAGCUCUGGCCAUCACCAUCGUUAAGGAAGCUCACCGGAGUUGCUGGAGGCUGCCGCCGCUCUGCCUGGUUGUGUUGAGUCGCGCUGCCGUGCCUGGCUGCCAGAAAAACCCGCUGCAGUCAUCGGAAAAUUCUGCCGGCGCCAUUGCCGGAGUCCGGUCACCGCUACUACUUGAGGUGGCUGCCGGGCUGCUGCCGAAUCGGUCCGGAGACCGCCGCUGUUCCGGUUCAGCUGUUCCUUCUUAUUUGCGAGUUGAUGUGGUUACUACAAAAGUGAGCAAAGCUGUGGUUCAAGCUGUCGGUGAUUUCGGGAUGAGGCGGAAAGGACUCUGUGAGACGUUUGGGUUAUGGAAUUUACGUUUUGAGGUAGGGGCACUUUCUGAAAACUAUAGUUUAUUAUUGGAAUUAUUACAUAUGGAUACUGAUGUGAGAUAAUGUAAUUGGUGAUUGUAUAAGCCUUAUGUGAUGUUGAUUAUCCUG